AAAAAAAAAAAGGACAACACAGAGAAGAUUAACAUGGCCCCUGUGCAAGGAUGACACACAAAUCUGGAAUAGAACCCAGGGCUUC
rnacentral:snRNA from 1 species